ACUGGGUGCGGUGGGGCACGCCUGUAAUCCUAGCAACCUGGGAGGCUGAGGCAGGAGGAUUGUGAGUUCAAAGCCAGCCUCAGCAACUUAGAGAGGCUGUAAGCAACUCAGCCAGACCCUGUCUCUA
rnacentral:sRNA from 1 species